rnacentral:tRNA from 1 species
GGGCGGUUAGCUCAGCCCGGUUAGAGUGCCUGCUUGACAUGCAGGAGGUCGUUGGUUCGAUCCCAAUACCGCCCACCA